rnacentral:rRNA from 1 species
AGAGUUUGAUCCUGGCUCAGGACGAACGCUGGCGGCGUGCUUAACACAUGCAAGUCGAACGAUGACGAACGGGUGCUUGCACUUGUUUUGAUUAGUGGCGAACGGGUGAGUAACACGUGAGUAACCUGCCCCUUACUCCGGGAUAACCAUUGGAAACGGUGGCUAAUACUGGAUACGACCGAUCACCGCAUGGUGUGUUGGUGGAAAGUUUUUCGGUAAGGGAUGGACUCGCGGCCUAUCAGCUUGUUGGUGGGGUAAUGGCCUACCAAGGCGACGACGGGUAGCCGGCCUGAGAGGGCGACCGGCCACACUGGGACUGAGACACGGCCCAGACUCCUACGGGAGGCAGCAGUGGGGAAUAUUGCACAAUGGGCGAAAGCCUGAUGCAGCGACGCCGCGUGGGGGAUGAAGGCCUUCGGGUUGUAAACCCCUUUCAGUAGGGAAGAAGCGAAAGUGACGGUACCUGCAGAAGAAGCGCCGGCUAACUACGUGCCAGCAGCCGCGGUAAUACGUAGGGCGCAAGCGUUGUCCGGAAUUAUUGGGCGUAAAGAGCUCGUAGGCGGCUUGUCGCGUCUGCCGUGAAAGUCCGGGGCUUAACUCCGGAUCUGCGGCGGGUACGGGCAGGCUAGAGUGCGGUAGGGGUGACUGGAAUUCCUGGUGUAGCGGUGGAAUGCGCAGAUAUCAGGAGGAACACCGAUGGCGAAGGCAGGUCACUGGGCCGCAACUGACGCUGAGGAGCGAAAGCAUGGGGAGCGAACAGGAUUAGAUACCCUGGUAGUCCAUGCCGUAAACGUUGGGCACU